rnacentral:rRNA from 1 species
UCCGGUUGAUCCUGCCAGAGGUUACUGCUAUCGAGGUUCGACUAAGCCAUGCGAGUCGAAUGUAGCAAUACAUGGCGUACUGCUCAGUAACACGUGGACAACCUGCCCUUAGGUCGGGUAUAAACCCGGGAAACUGGGUAUAAUCCCCGAUAGGUCUCGGCUGCUGGAAUGCAUCGAGAUUGAAAGCUCCGGCGCCUAAGGAUGGGUCUGCGGCCUAUCAGGUAGUAGUGGGUGUAGCGUACCUACUAGCCUACGACGGGUACGGGUUGUGAGAGCAAGAGCCCGGAGAUGGAUUCUGAGACACGAAUCCAGGCCCUACGGGGUGCAGCAGGCGCGAAAACUUUACAAUGCUAGCAACAGCGAUAAGGGAACCUCGAGUGCCAGGUUACAAAUCUGGCUGUCGAGAUGCCUAAAAAGCAUUUCAUAGCAAGGGCCGGGCAAGACCGGUGCCAGCCGCCGCGGUAACACCGGCGGCUCGAGUGGUAACCGUUAUUAUUGGGUCUAAAGGGUCUGUAGCCGGCCGGAUAAGUCUCUUGAGAAAUCUGGCAGCUUAACUGUCAGGCUUUCAGGAGAUACUGUCUGGCUCGAGGCCGGGAGAGGUGAGAGGUACUUCAGGGGUAGGGGUGAAAUCUUGUAAUCCUUGAAGGACCACCAGUGGCGAAGGCGUCUCACCAGAACGGACCUGACGGCAAAGGACGAAAGCUAGGGGCACGAACCGGAUUAGAACCCGGGUAGUCCUAGCCGUAAACGAU